rnacentral:rRNA from 1 species
UACGUAGGGUGCGAGCGUUGUCCGGAAUUAUUGGGCGUAAAGAGCUCGUAGGCGGUUUGUCACGUCUGCUGUGAAAUCCCGAGGCUCAACCUCGGGCCUGCAGUGGGUACGGGCAGACUGGAGUGCGGUAGGGGAGAAUGGAAUUCCCGGUGUAGUGGUGAAAUGCGUAGAUAUCGGGAGGAACACCCGUGGCGAAAGCGGCUCUCUGGAACGGUACUGACGCUGAGACGCGAAAGCGUGGGGAGCAAACAGGG